rnacentral:rRNA from 1 species
GAUGAACGCUGGCGGCGUGCCUAAUACAUGCGAGUCGAGCGAACAGACGAGGAGCUUGCUCCUCUGACGUUAGCGGCGGACGGGUGAGUAACACGUGGAUAACCUACCUAUAAGACUGGGAUAACUUCGGGAAACCGGAGCUAAUACCGGAUAAUAUAUUGAACCGCAUGGUUCAAUAGUGAAAGACGGAUUUGCUGUCACUUAUAGAUGGAUCCGCGCCGCAUUAGCUAGUUGGUAAGGUAACGGCUUACCAAGGCAACGAUGCGUAGCCGACCUGAGAGGGUGAUCGGCCACACUGGAACUGAGACACGGUCCAGACUCCUACGGGAGGCAGCAGUAGGGAAUCUUCCGCAAAGGGCGAAAGCUUGACGGAGCAACGCCGCGUGAGUGAUGAAGGUCUUCGGAUCGUAAAACUCUGUUAUUAGGGAAGAACAAAUGUGUAAGUAACUAUGCACGUCUUGACGGUACCUAAUCAGAAAGCCACGGCUAACUACGCG